CGGAGUGCUUGCACUCUGUGAAACAAGAUACAGGCUAGCGGCGGACGGGUGAGUAACACGUGGGUAACCUGCCCAAGAGAUCGGGAUAACACCUGGAAACAGAUGCUAAUACCGGAUAACAACAGAUGAUGCCUAUCAACUGUUUAAAAGAUGGUUCUGCUAUCACUCUUGGAUGGACCUGCGGUGCAUUAGCUAGUUGGUAGGGUAACGGCCUACCAAGGCGAUGAUGCAUAGCCGAGUUGAGAGACUGAUCGGCCACAUUGGGACUGAGACACGGCCCAAACUCCUACGGGAGGCAGCAGUAGGGAAUCUUCCACAAUGGACGCAAGUCUGAUGGAGCAACGCCGCGUGAGUGAAGAAGGGUUUCGGCUCGUGAAGCUCUGUUGUUGGUGAAGAAGGACGGGGGUAGUAACUGACCUUUGUUUGACGGUAAUCAAUUAGAAAGUCACGGCUAACUACGUGCCAGCAGCCGCGGUAAUACGUAGGUGGCAAGCGUUGUCCGGAUUUAUUGGGCGUAAAGCGAGUGCAGGCGGUUCGAUAAGUCUGAUGUGAAAGCCUUCGGCUCAACCGGAGAAUUGCAUCAGAAACUGUCGAGCUUGAGUACAGAAGAGGAGAGUGGAACUCCAUGUGUAGCGGUGAAAUGCGUAGAUAUAUGGAAGAACACCGGUGGCGAAGGCGGCUCUCUGGUCUGUUACUGA
rnacentral:rRNA from 1 species